GGUAAAAAAAAGGUAAGCUACUAAGAGCGAAUGGUGGAUGCCUUGACUGGUAAAGGCGAUGAAGGACGUACUAGACUGCGAUAAGCUACGGGGAGCUGUCAAGAAGCUUUGAUCCGUAGAUUUCCGAAUGGGGCAACCCAAUGUAUAGAGAUAUGCAUUACCUAUAUAGGAGCGAACGAGGGGAAUUGAAACAUCUUAGUACCCUCAGGAAAAGAAAUCAAUAGAGAUUGCGUCAGUAGCGGCGAGCGAAAGCGCAAGAGGGCAAACCCAGUGCUUGCACUGGGGGUUGUAGGACUGCAAUGUGCAAGAGCUGAGUUUAGCAGAACAUUCUGGAAAGUAUAGCCAUAGAGGGUGAUAGUCCCGUAUGCGAAAAACAAAGCUUAGCUAGCAGUAUCCUGAGUAGGGCGGGACACGAGGAAUCCUGUCUGAAUCCGGGUCGACCACGAUCCAACCCUAAAUACUAAUACCAGAUCGAUAGUGCACAAGUACCGUGAGGGAAAGGUGAAAAGAACUGAGGUGAUCAGAGUGAAAUAGAACCUGAAACCAUUUGCUUACAAUCAUUCAGAGCACUAUGUAGCAAUACAGUGUGAUGGACUGCCUUUUGCAUAAUGAGCCUGCGAGUUGUGGUGUCUGGCAAGGUUAAGCAAACGCGAAGCCGUAGCGAAAGCGAGUCUGAAUAGGGCGCUUAGUCAGAUGCUGCAGACCCGAAACGAAGUGAUCUAUCCAUGAGCAAGUUGAAGCUAGUGUAAGAACUAGUGGAGGACUGAACCCAUAGGCGUUGAAAAGCCCCGGGAUGACUUGUGGAUAGGGGUGAAAGGCCAAUCAAACUUCGUGAUAGCUGGUUCUCUCCGAAAUAUAUUUAGGUAUAGCGUUGUGUCGUAAUAUAAGGGGGUAGAGCACUGAAUGGGCUAGGGCAUACACCAAUGUACCAAACCCUAUCAAACUUCGAAUACCUUAUAUGUAAUCACAGCAGUCAGGCGGCGAGUGAUAAAAUCCGUCGUCAAGAGGGAAACAACCCAGACUACCAGCUAAGGUCCCUAAAUCUUACUUAAGUGGAAAACGAUGUGAAGUUACUUAAACAACCAGGAGGUUGGCUUAGAAGCAGCCAUCCUUUAAAGAAAGCGUAAUAGCUCACUGGUCUAGUGAUUUUGCGCGGAAAAUAUAACGGGGCUAAAGU
rnacentral:rRNA from 1 species